UACGGGGGGAGCAAGCGUUGUUCGGAUUUACUGGGCGUAAAGGGCGCGUAGGCGGCCAUCACAAGUCAGUUGUGAAAUCUCCGAGCUUAACUCGGAAAGGUCAACUGAUACUGUGCGGCUAGAGUGCGGAAGGGGCAACUGGAAUUCUUGGUGUAGCGGUGAAAUGCGUAGAUAUCAAGAGGAACACCUGCGGCGAAGGCGGCUUUCUGGUCUGCUCGUGACGCUGAGGCGCGAAAGCUAGGGUAGCAAGCGGG
rnacentral:rRNA from 1 species